CUUUUUAUGGCAGACUAGUGCGAUAAAUUUAGGAUUUAUUUAUGGGGCCACCCUGAAAAGAA
rnacentral:tRNA from 1 species